rnacentral:rRNA from 1 species
AGAGUUUGAUCCUGGCUCAGGAUGAACGCUAGCUACAGGCUUAACACAUGCAAGUCGAGGGGCAGCAUGGUCUUAGCUUGCUAAGGCCGAUGGCGACCGGCGCACGGGUGAGUAACACGUAUCCAACCUGCCGUCUACUCUUGGACAGCCUUCUGAAAGGAAGAUUAAUACAAGAUGGCAUCAUGAGUCCGCAUGUUCACAUGAUUAAAGGUAUUCCGGUAGACGAUGGGGAUGCGUUCCAUUAGAUAGUAGGCGGGGUAACGGCCCACCUAGUCUUCGAUGGAUAGGGGUUCUGAGAGGAAGGUCCCCCACAUUGGAACUGAGACACGGUCCAAACUCCUACGGGAGGCAGCAGUGAGGAAUAUUGGUCAAUGGGCGAGAGCCUGAACCAGCCAAGUAGCGUGAAGGAUGACUGCCCUAUGGGUUGUAAACUUCUUUUAUAAAGGAAUAAAGUCGGGUAUGCAUACCCGUUUGCAUGUACUUUAUGAAUAAGGAUCGGCUAACUCCGUGCCAGCAGCCGCGGUAAUACGGAGGAUCCGAGCGUUAUCCGGAUUUAUUGGGUUUAAAGGGAGCGUAGAUGGAUGUUUAAGUCAGUUGUGAAAGUUUGCGGCUCAACCGUAAAAUUGCAGUUGAUACUGGAUAUCUUGAGUGCAGUUGAGGCAGGCGGAAUUCGUGGUGUAGCGGUGAAAUGCUUAGAUAUCACGAAGAACUCCGAUUGCGAAGGCAGCCUGCUAAGCUGCAACUGACAUUGAGGCUCGAAAGUGUGGGUAUCAAACAGGAUUAGAUACCCUGGUAGUCCACACGGUAAACGAUGAAUACUCGCUGUUUGCGAUAUACAGCAAGCGGCCAAGCGAAAGCGUUAAAUAUUCCACCUGGGGAGUACGCCGGCAACGGUGAAACUCAAAGGAAUUGACGGGGGCCCGCACAAGCGGAGGAACAUGUGGUUUAAUUCGAUGAUACGCGAGGAACCUUACCCGGGCUUAAAUUGCAGAUGAAUUACGGUGAAAGCCGUAAGCCGCAAGGCAUCUGUGAAGGUGCUGCAUGGUUGUCGUCAGCUCGUGCCGUGAGGUGUCGGCUUAAGUGCCAUAACGAGCGCAACCCUUGUUGUCAGUUACUAACAGGUCAUGCUGAGGACUCUGACAAGACUGCCAUCGUAAGAUGUGAGGAAGGUGGGGAUGACGUCAAAUCAGCACGGCCCUUACGUCCGGGGCUACACACGUGUUACAAUGGGGGGUACAGAGGGCCGCUACCACGCGAGUGGAUGCCAAUCCCCAAAACCUCUCUCAGUUCGGACUGGAGUCUGCAACCCGACUCCACGAAGCUGGAUCCGCUAGUAAUCGCGCAUCAGCCACGGCGCGGUGAAUACGUUCCCGGGCCUUGUACACACCGCCC